CCUACGGGAGGCAGCAGUGAGGAAUAUUGGACAAUGGGCGCAAGCCUGAUCCAGCCAUGCCGCGUGCAGGAUGACGGUCCUAUGGAUUGUAAACUGCUUUUGUACAGGAAGAAACAGUUCUACGUGUAGAACCUUGACGGUACUGUAAGAAUAAGGAUCGGCUAACUCCGUGCCAGCAGCCGCGGUAAUACGGAGGAUCCAAGCGUUAUCCGGAAUCAUUGGGUUUAAAGGGUCCGUAGGCGGUUUAGUAAGUCAGUGGUGAAAGCCCAUCGCUCAACGGUGGAACGGCCAUUGAUACUGCUAAACUUGAAUUAUUAGGAAGUAACUAGAAUAUGUAGUGUAGCGGUGAAAUGCUUAGAGAUUACAUGGAAUACCAAUUGCGAAGGCAGGUUACUACUAAUAUAUUGACGCUGAUGGACGAAAGCGUGGGUAGCGAACAGGAUUAGAUACCCUGGUAGUCCACGCCGUAAACGAUGGAUACUAGCUGUUGGGAGCAAUCUCAGUGGCUAAGCGAAAGUGAUAAGUAUCCCACCUGGGGAGUACGUUCGCAAGAAUGAAACUUAAAUGAAUUGACGGCUGAGAGAGCGAGAGACACGAGGGAGGAGG
rnacentral:rRNA from 1 species